CUGGCUUCGUGGGAGACCAUUCGUUUCCUUUCUUCAGCACUACAGGACUGAGUCAGGACUGUUUUCUUCAUCGCCUUGGCCAAGAGACUGAACUGUUCGCCAUCUCUCCACUUCACUCCGACUCUGUGAACAGACACGGAUAAAUGGACAAGGUGUGGCCAGUC